AUUGAACGCUGGCGGCAGGCCUAACACAUGCAAGUCGAGCGGAUGAAGGGAGCUUGCUCCUGAUUCAGCGGCGGACGGGUGAGUAAUGCCUAGGAAUCUGCCUGGUAGUGGGGGAUAACGUCCGGAAACGGGCGCUAAUACCGCAUACGUCCUGAGGGAGAAAGUGGGGGAUCUUCGGACCUCACGCUAUCAGAUGAGCCUAGGUCGGAGUAGCUAGUUGGUGGGGUAAAGGCCUACCAAGGCGACGAUCCGUAACUGGUCUGAGAGGAUGAUCAGUCACACUGGAACUGAGACACGGUCCAGACUCCUACGGGAGGCAGCAGUGGGGAAUAUUGGACAAUGGGCGAAAGACUGAUCCAGCCAGGCCGCGUGUGAAGAAGGUCUUCGGAUUGUAAAGCACUUUAAGUUGGGAGGAAGGGCAGUAAGUUAAUACCUUGCUGUUUUGACGUUACCAACAGAAUAGGCACCGGCUAACUUCGUG
rnacentral:rRNA from 1 species